rnacentral:rRNA from 1 species
UUUAAUGGAGAGUUUGAUCCUGGCUCAGGACGAACGCUGGCGGCGUGCCUAAUACAUGCAAGUCGAGCGGACCCUUCGGGGUUAGCGGCGGACGGGUGAGUAACACGUAGGCAACCUGCCUGUAAGACUGGGAUAACUACCGGAAACGGUAGCUAAGACCGGAUAAGUGAUUCUUUCGCAUGAGGGG